AGGUAUAGGAGACAAAUGCACAACUAAAACGGAUUGUGUUGCUGUAGCUAAGUCAAUAUGCAAUACAACUGGCAGCAAUACUUGUGAAUGUCCGGCUAAACACAAAGUCGACAGUGGUCAAUGUAAACCUAAAGUCAUUGGCGCAGCAUGUACUACUGCAAAUGCAUCUACAGCAUGCAACGUAAAAAAUUCAGAAUGCAAAAGUUCUAGCAUCAUGACCUGUGCAUGCAUAUCAGGUUUUCACAAUGAUAAUGACCAAUGUCUAGCAGAUUCAUCGGCUGAGUCUCAACGGAUUGCAUUUUACAUUGUUGGCGCAUCCCUAAUGCUGACCUUCUUUAAAGUACUCUAAAGGCGAACUCUAGUAUUGAAAAGAAAACAAAGGAUUUCAACAGAAGAAAAUAUGUUUGCGAAAUAGAUUUUUAACCCUACAUUACUUAUUAACAUUUUACAUAUCGUUGCCUAAUACUAUAUCCCAGACUCGUUUAUAUAUAGUGGUACUUUAUGACAAUAUUUUCUUUUUACAAUUAAACUAUGUUUUUUUUUUAUUCCUUGAUACUUUGCGGAAUUGGGGGUGUCGGGUUCAUAUACAUGUAGUCCGUCCGUCUGUCACGAUAUCUUUUUGGAACGUUUUUAAAGGAUUUAACCCAAACUUGAAAGAACUGUAUUACUAUGAAGUACAUGAAUAUAUCAUGCUCAGAUGAGGUAUGGCCCUUUGAAAUUUACAAAACUCUGAAUAUUGCACAAUAUAAACUUUGUCUGUUUAAGUCCUCUUUCCGUUUCCAAGAAGUCUGGCUCAAACUUACAGACAUACAUAUUUAUGACAUGAACGCGCGUGUGUGUGUUAGGAGUUAUAACCUUUUGAAACUAUACAGAAUGCUACAUAUUCCCAAUACAUAUAUCAACCUUAUCCGGUUAACUCCUACAACAGUAUCAAAAGAUUUUUCCCUAACUUACAGAAAGGUUUAUUAUCAGGACAUACAUGUACUGUGUCUGAGUUAUGAGCUAUGACCAAUUGAAAGUUUACAAAAUGCUACGUUUUCCUAUACGUAUUAAUCCUGUUAGAGCUUGCCCAAACAUAUAGCAAUGCAUUGCUAUUAAGUUAAUUUGAGAAUAUUGUCGGGAUAAAGAUGUACUACAGUUUAAACUAACAUAAACGCACCCCCUCGCAUCCUAUUUAAUAAAAAUAGUUUUAAAACUACUGAUUUAUUAUCGGCAGACUUUCUCAGUCCCGAAUAUCUUCGCGGAGCAUACAUCAGUUACCUGAUGACUCUUGUUAAUGGACAACAUGUUGUUCUUAGUUUAAUCAGAGUCGUUUUUGCUUUGCAGUACUUCGAAAUAUAUUAGAAGUGUAUACUAUUUUUAUUGUCGUAUACAUUUUAGAACAACAAAGUCACUUUUUUUCAAUAUCACAUUUUACGAAAUGAAUUUCUGAACUUAAACUGAAAUUAAAAGAUAGAAUCCACUUUGUUAUGAAACCUUACCUACGCAAGCAUGUAUUUACAUUUAAAUGACAUGAAAAAUGAAAACAUAUAAAGCGAAAUGUCUUUCAGAAUUCAAAGAAUAAAUGAUUUAAUUUGAUAGUGCAAAUUACUUUUUCCGCCUUUGUAAAUACACAAAUUAAGAUUUGUUCUAAUGCCUUUAAUACGCAUUUUUUACAGAUUGUAUUUACAUCUUAUGUAUUAAAAUACGUUUAUAACAGAAUAUCAUUUAUAUAAUUACAAAACAAACCUGAAGGUGACAACAGGAAAAGCCUGCAUUGACAUUACCAUUUGAUAUGGAUAAAACAGUUGUUUAUAUAAAAUAAUAUUUGACUUUUUGCCUUGUUAAAGUGAGAAAACAUCAUGAGAGUGAAAAAGCCAUUGUAUAUAUUUGGUAUUUUGCAAGUGUGUAAAUACUUAGACGUUGAUGUUUAAAAGACGUUUGUCAAACUGACUUUGUCUAUGGUAGCUGAAAAAAAUGUCGAUAUUUCAGCACAAAAGUUAACAUUAGAGAAAAUGUGUUAUUAUGUGGCUAUAUGAGCCCAGGAAUAUGAGCUGUUUGGAUUUUAUUUAUAUUUCUUUGUUCAUAGAUAUUUUGAAUAAAUAUUCUAAAGCAACUGUUUAACUGUCAAAUGAGCUUCUUCUUGUUUAAUCUGUGACUACGUUUCCACAUUUGAAUUCAUGUUGAACUUAAUGUAACUAUUGCGUUGAUGGUUCAAAACGUAAAUCACUGUAUGAAACUGGCCGGUAGAUGGUAUGUGAGUAAUACCUAGAAUUCAGUGUAGACUUAACGAAUACACAACAUUUGCAUUGCCUUUUCAAAUUUUCUAGAUUUGUUUAUUUCUUUAUACCUAAGAGUUAAGUAAAGGUCAAUGUUUUUAAACAUUUGUUUUGCUUUGUUCGUUCAAAUACUUGAUGCUUAUAUGAGCUCAGUAAUCUAUGAAUGAGAGUCUUUCACAUUAGGUAUUAUUCCUAUCGAAAGCCUGAUGAACAUGAUUAAACAAUGUUGCUCAUUUGAAAGUAGAUCUAUGUAUAGAAAAAAAAGGAAAUUGUAACUUAACAGUGGUAAGUCUAUUCAUGAAAAUAAAUGUGCAAAUAUCAGUGUAUCAAUUGAUCGCAGAUCUUCUGUUUAAUGAAAUAACAUGUGUUGAAUACAUUUUUGUAAGAUCAAUAAACGAUUGC